UAGGAUCCCAUUCAGUUCUAAUGUUCUAUAAUUAUGUAUUCUCUCUGUUUCACUCACUUCUAAAUCUCUUAUUUUUCCAACAGGAAUUGAGGCAGUCCAACAGCAGAAGUAUUUCAGGAUGUGGGCUGAAGAGCAGAGUGAGAUGAUACAGGAGAGACUCCAAACCAAGAGAAGCACACAGAGGAUUCAGCAUUGAAAACCAAGCCCAGGAAGAGCUCACAGACACAGGAGACUUGCAAGGAGCAGAUCUGGCUGGGAGCAGAGGCAUUGCUUGUACUCCUGUCUCAAAGUGCUCGGUGACAGGGCACAUCAGGAAUACCUAGACAAGCCCUAGGACAAGAAGCCCAGGGAAUCCACCCUGAAAAUACUUAAAGCUAGCCACAUCAUCCAAGAGAAGGGCUUCAGUAACGGUCUGGAAGCAUCCAUGAAGAUUAUAUUUGCCUCCUUCUUAAACAUUGCCAUCUGAGAAGUCUGCCUUGCAGCUAGAAAUCAGGAUAUUCGUGGGAGCUGAAUGGGAAAGAUAAUUUAUGUAUUUUUUUUUCAAAAGUUGUACCACUUCAUAGGGGCAAGCCUGUUGAAGAUCCACAAGCAAUCAGAUAAAGUGAAGGAUUUAGCAGAAAAUUGGAAGAACAAGACUCUUUUUGCAUCAGAUGAGGGGAAGCUGAGAACCUGGGAGAAGUGAAUUGAUGCCCCUGGAAAUCUGACCAGGUGCUUGAAUACAGCUUCGGAUAAUUGUCACAGCAAGAUAUAGAAAUGUCCUUUGAGGAGAAAAACACCAUAAAUAAAUUUUAUUGUGUAUAGAAGACUUUAUCAAGCUCUCUUGGUGAAAACUGCCAUAUUAAUUUGUGCUUUCAAAAAUUAAAAUAAUUAUAAUUCAUUUUUUAGUAUUUAGAUUACCAUA
rnacentral:lncRNA from 1 species